rnacentral:sRNA from 1 species
GGUAGGCAUGGUGCAGGAGGAGCCGAGAGUUCUAUAUCUUUAUCUGAAGGCCGCUAGGAGGCUCUCACAUGAUUAGGAAGAGCGUCUCAUUGCCUGCCCCCACAGUGACACACUUCCUCUAACAAGGCCACACUUCCUAAUAGUGCUACUCCCUAGGCCAAACAUACUCAAACCACCACACACACACACACAUCUAGAGGGGAUUAGAGUGUCACUGUUAUUCAUUUUUGUACAGCUGCAUGAUAUUCCUGUAAAGGUAUUAAUCUUUCUUAUAAAAGUCUAUUUAAAAUGUUCAGUCGUGUAUUACCUACAGUGCUGCUGAUGUUUGGUGGCAAGCAUAUACAAGAGCACUACUAGAUUCACUCAGCAAAUGAGGAAAUGGAGUCUCAGAAAGAUUCCUGAAAGUUCUUAGUAACACACAGCAAGCAAGCAGCCAGAAUCAGGAUGGCCACAUAGAAUAGAGCCGAGAAAAAGUAGAGGCUUAGGGGGCAAUCAGAAUAAUGAGGAGACCUUCAUCCAGCACAGUCUUAUCUUGAAAUAAGAACUCCUAUUUGUUGGCACUGACGAGCUCAUUGUAUGUGUGCUUAAUAUGCCUUGGUCUGUACUGGUCCGGAACCCCGGCUUUAGUCCAGAUGAAGAGUCACAUGGCCCUUUAAUCUGCAGGGCCGAGCUGUUCACUACAAAGCAGCCCUUUCUGGGCUUCAAGCGGCAGUCAUCUCUCAGGGUACUGCCUCCCUCCUCAGACCAGCAUCGUGGGCAUAUCUGCCAUGAAGUGCAUUUUGGAAGCUGAAGGACAACUUUGAGGAAGUGGUUUUCUCCUUCCACCUUUACGAGGGGUCUGGGGAUCGAACUCAGGCUGCCAGAUUUGCACAACAGUCACCUUUACCUCCUACGCUCUUUCACUGGUCCAUGGUUCAUCUUCCAUAGUCAUGCAAGAAGCAAACGAGUUCCAAAAGGAGGAACGUUUCAGAGAGAACUCCACUUAACACACACUGUAUUUGCACUCGUGAUUGUAGCAGCACUCGGACACAAAAGCCAGUUCCACACCAAGUAACCACUGAGGAAGGAGAGAAGGUUACCACAGGCAGGGGAGUUUGUGAAGCUUUACAGAGAAAGGUAUUGGUAACCCGGAGUCCUAUCACACCCCAUCCCCAGAGGGAAGAAAAGAAAGAGGAGGGAAAGAAGACUGCACUAACUGUUGAUCGCAGCAAAGUCCUGCUCUGUUAAUAUUUCAGUUUUACAGAUAGGAAUUCGCCCAGACUCAUAUGCCUUGCAAGAAUUAAAACUGGAAUUCCAACGCAGGUGCUUUUAGGGUCAGAUUCCAAACUCCUUGGAAGAGCCUAUAGCUCUGGCCCCAUCAAAGACAGUGUGGCCUUUCUUAUCUAGCUACUGUGACCUAGGCUGUGAACUUAGAUGCCCUCUGUGCCACAGGGUGAGGCAUGGGCUGCAGGAAUUUGUAUCCUUUUAUAAAAGAGAGAGAGAGAGAGAGAGAGAGAGAGAGAGAGAGAGAGAGACUGCGAGUUUCUUUGAUUUCAUUCUGUCUUUGCAGCUCAGAAGUAUGACUUAGAGUUUGUUACAACAGAAAUACAGGUCUAUUGUCUGUACACAGUCCCUGUCUAUGGUGUUUUGUUAUAGCAACUCCAUGGUAAAGACAGGCCCAGCCUAACAGCUUCCCACAGGAUCUUUUGCCUGUGGCAAUGACUCUUACUUAGUGGAUGUAGGACUUAUCUUUUCCCCUUAGAUACCACGUGUUAGGAAACUCUAGGUGUAGCCACCGAGUCUCUUACAUCUGCUAGGGCUUCUGUCAGAGUUCAGGACAGCACUCAGACACAAAAGCCAAGUAACCAUUCAGGGAAGGAGUGGAAAGCCAGUCAGAGGGUUCUGUUACCCCAUCCAAAGAGCAGAAGGCAGGGGAGUUUGUGAAGCUUUACAGAGGAAGGUGUUGGUAACUGGGAGCCCUAUCACACCCCAUCCCCGGAAGGAGGAAGAGGUGCCUGACUCUCACCUCACCCUCAGAGGGAGCAGGUUCCAUGUUCAUUGGAGAGCGUGGCAUGUGCCCUGAUGCCCGAAGCCCAGAAAAGGGGGUCUGAUUUCAGCCCCGAAAAGCCAGUGUCAUGUUAGGCCGAUUAAAGGAGCCAAACAAAGCCCACGUUCUGCUUUACCAGGCCUCAGCAUUCCCAGUGGACCCGUCAUGGGUAUCCUACGUGAAGGUCAGCACAGGGUCCUCCUGGAACCCGCGGGAAUGUAGACUUCAGGGGCCACCAAACCACAGGGGCAUAGUCCAGGAAAAAGCAGGCAUAUCCAGAAUGGAGGUCACUCCCAUUGAGGGUUUUGUAAGGAGUGUUUUCUGAGACACCAAUAAAUUAGAAGUAUACCAGAGUCCACUCCAGUUUAGAGCCCACAGCCUAGGCUAGAUAGCAUUCACACUAGGGCAUGGUCACUGGGUCCUUGGCCCUCCACUGUCUCCUAGCAAUAGGAGAUGGCCUCUGUUGGCAAUAAAAGAAGUAGCAGAAAAGCAAAGCUAGAAAAAGAGAAAGCCACCACAUGUAUUCUCCUGGGAGGGCUGUAGUCUGAAGUCCUUCUGCCGGCCAUCAUUCCCAGUCUGCAAAAUUGAGAUUUGAGGGGUAUCUUUUGCUUAAUAACCCCCUUCUUCAUUUAACCCAGAGAUUUUUACCUUAGAAGAAAAAUCAACUUUCUACUAGAAGCUGGACCCUUCUCUGGUUUGCUUUUAAUUUAAUUUCGAGUUAUUUGGAUUAUAAAGUUUCAAUGCAUCUUUUCACACCACCUGAAGAAUAAGCCUUUGGCAGCAGAGUCGGUGGCUCAGUCUCCUUCUGUCCCCUCAGCAGGAGCUGAGCACCAGGCACAAAGACUUGAUGACUAAUGCGGCACCUCUCGGGGAUACGGCCUCGCACAAAGCCAUCUCUAGCCAUAAGCGCUACUGAACCCACUGCGUUUCAGAUGGCCCCAGCUGAACAAACUUCCAAACCGUCGCCAGCCUUUUCUCUCCCAGCAUUUUCAAGCCGUGGGUGGCACAAAUAAAAAAAUACCACCUGGCAUUUGUAUAGCACUUCACAAAGCCACUCUCAUAACCACCCCCUACGCUCAGCCCCGGACCAUUCUCAGACAACCCGUGUCUAUCCACACCCCUACUCUUCCUGGUGGCCAGCCCCGUGCCAGACACUGCAGGGCUGGGCCACAAGCUCCCCCACCACCCCCGGGGAGUCCACGUGUUGUGUGAAGAGUUUCCUCAUAGAGAGUCAGACAGCCAGCAAUGUGGGCAGAGAGCGAAGGGCAGCUCGUUCAGGUUUUGUUUAUUAUGUUCUCACAGCCUGUGUAUAGUAAAGGUGAAUGUAUUUCGCUUUACAUGGUAAUGAAAGAAUUCAAUGAGGACUCGGUCGGCCAAGCGGUUUAUAUGGCAGAUGAGCUGCUAUAACUCUGUUGUGCUCCGUGAGUGACCCGCUAAGGCUACUGUGGUCGGGACACGUGUGGGGCCUACUCGCCUUUUCCUAACCUGGCAGAGGGGAAGGAGUGGAGGGGUUAAGUUCAAGAAAUAGACAGUUUAUUGAGAGGACCCAAACCCCAAACCUGGCGAGGCCCGUAGUCCUGUCCUGAUGUAUCUCAUUGUGUCCCACAGCAUCCUGUAGGGUCCUUGAGAAGCUAUGGGGACAGAAAGCCAUCUCUCCUCUUGGCUUCUCCCUCCUUGUCUCGUGCCAAUUGACACGGUGGCACAGACGCCCAGCGCCAGGAAUAUUGGUACCACCUCUCGUUGUUAACUGGAAGGGGAUGGAUCUCAGGAAAGCUAACAUUUGGCAGACUGAAGGUAAGGGUAGAAAACCACAGUUCCUCUUCAGGGUCAAUGGAGUUCUGGGGUUCUUGCUAGAAGACCAUCCUGUCUAUGAAUGUGCCCCCCCUCCCACCUUUCCCUCUGGGACACAGAGAAGCAGCUGUCAUGCUGGCAGCUGGGGGGGGUCUCUUCUGCCUUGCCCCUUCUUCCUCAUGCUUCCCCCACCUUGCCCAUCCUCCCCCAGUUCUCAUGCCUUCCCCUCCCAGCAGAGAGAGCUUCUCUAUGGUCCAGGGCGUGUAGACCUGGCCAGGACAAACAUCUGGGCAGAUCAUUCUUCUGUUCACAGCUUUGGUUUCUCAGAGCAGCCAGUUCUGGGGAAAGCACCAGAAAAUAGAGCCCGCUUGCAGCUUCCUUGCUGCCUAUCCAACACAGGGUCAGAAAAAUUAACGAGGGUUUGAAGCAGGGAUCCAUGUUGCACUGUAGUCUUGGAAAAUCCUCCCAGAUUUGAUCCUCUCCAGGAAGGGGCACCCUCCUCAGAGAGGUUUGGAAGCUGUUGUACCACGACCGUCACUAAUGAGACACUCUUCACUCACUAGCAAUGUUCCAGCUACUCUACUGCGUGACCUUGGGUACAGGGGCACAGCCUGACAUACAAUGGUCAAACACAAGAGUAUAUGAAGACAAAGGGAGAUAGAGUUCAUGGUACAGGCCUGGAGGAAGCACUGUGGUAAAGGCCGGGGAAGCCUGGCAAACCAGUUCUCAGUCAAGUGCCCUUGAUGCUCCCUGACUUUGACGUACCUACUGACAACUACUUCAUUUAGCCUGAACCCAGGCAUGACCUCAAAGGAGCCAGUGAGACCGAGAGGCACGAAGCAACCACCGUGAGAGUCAGCUGCAGAAAGGGCAGGGCAUCCUUGGCUUAAUAGUAGGCUUUUGCCAUCCAGGUGGGUUGGCGGGUCCUGUUUUACUCAGUUCUGUUCCUCUUCGUUGCUUAGGCUGCUGCUUCCAGUCCACAUCUGCACAUUGGCGCCACUAGUGGGACAUUAUAAAAAACUACUACUCCCUCUGAGCCUCUCCGACUUAGCUACUCUAUGGUAGAAACUGAACUGUUUUGUUGUUGUUGUUUGAUUGUUUGUUUGUUUUUCUGCUCCCCCUGGCAAGCCUAGUGAGUGGCGAGGUUGAGAACCACUGUCUUGGGCCUUUUUUGUCCAAUGCCUGCAGGCCAUUCCAUAUCCAGGAACUUCAUUCUUUUGUUCAAUGUUGCUUUAUAAGUCCCUUGCCUAGGUCUACAGGAUCAGCACCUCCUCCGGGUGUGGAAGCUGGGAAUUAGCAUUUGUGAGAGGCUUUCAAGGUGGUCCCUAUGAUCCAUGCUCACGCUCAACAAUAAAUGCUGCCUCAGAGCAUCACUCCCCUUUCAACCCAGGAUGCUCUAGUUGUCGAUGACUGAGAUCUAGUCACUCCACGAGAGCAACAGCAAACCACACACCAGACCCAAAGCAAGUCAACACUCCAGUGGGACCAAUAGGCCGUUCAGGGAUGGAAAGCCACGGCUCUGUGUCCUGCUGCCUGGGCUGGCCUGAGUCCGGGGCCAGUCGUCAGCACACUUGCAUGACUGGAGCAAAGGAAGACAUUAAAUGGAAGCAGUGGCAUCUUUAAUGAAGACCUGGUGAGGCAGAUGAGGCUCGUAGCGGAAGAGACAAGGGGAGGGAACUGGGGGACAUGGAAGCUUGGAGAUGAGGUAUGCUUGGAUAUUGCUCUAGAUGUUGUAAACAUUUCUCUGUUUCACCACACAUCAGAAUCUGGGCUAGCAUGACUAAAGUGCCUAAGAGGAGGUACCAGGGCUAGAAGCUCUGCACCUUCUAUGAGAAGCAGGGGAGAUACGGUAUGUGAAAAGCUAUUUACAUGGGAAGAGCAUGUCUGUGGUAUACUGCCCAAGACUCACAGUUACACACACACACACACACACACACACACACACACACACACACACACACCAGAUGCUCCACGGGAGUCCCAUAGAGCUAUCUGCUCCUCGACACAGACACAAACUCCAUGUCCUCGUCUAGCUACAGAACUCAGGAUACUCCAACUUGCUCCUUCAUACCUCCCACGCGGAAAGGAGUCACCAGGGUGCAUGACAUCACCUUCUGCAGCCUUCAUCCCAUCAAGAGCUGAACUCUAGGCCCCAAGUGAGGGUGCCGCACCGCGCGGGUGGAGCCAUUUUGAAUCGGGAUAGUGCCAAUGGUGAGAAGGCCCUUCUAGGACGAUCCCAUCGCUGCAGGCCCAGUGUCAUGCACCACAGAGUGGGCAGUAGCAUUGGCAGCAGAUGCACAUUUCAUAUGUAAACAAUGUUUAAAAAAUACCCUGUGAGAGAAUUUAAUCAUUACAUUAAUUCUGGCAGCUUUAGCUAAGAAUAUUUUUAUAUCAGGGUGGGGAAAAAAAUCUUAUGUGCUAUAACUAGGAACCAUUUGAAGCUUCAGAGGUCUUAUUAAAUGUGACUGCCACAGGUCCCUUCAGUGUGAGGCCUAGAAAGUAGAUGUUCUCUCUCUUCACAUCCAGACACUAACGCCCACUCACAGAUGACGGUGUACCACUUGGAGGGCAGCUGGCACUAACACAGUAGGACUCAAGGGCCUUCUUGGCCUUGUCUGGCUACAACCAAGGAAGGAACUGAUUCCCCAAGACCAGAAUACAAACCCUAGAAUACUUCAGAAGGGCUAGCACCCCACAAAAGGAGAGUGUCAGCCCAGCCUUCCACCACCGACUUUCUAGGGCAGCCUGGCCACAGACUUUUUCAUUCAUUCAAGCUGAACGUUCACAGCCCUUCAAUGAGCCCACGUUGACUGGUUGUAAAUUGUCGUAGCAGUGUCUUCACCACAUCCUCGGUUCACCCAGAGACCAGCAGCUUCUAGAUUCGUCUUCUAUCUUCUGCUUGCUGUACUGAAGAUUCAUCAUCUUCCUGUCCCUGCAGGAGAUGGCAGGGACAGCUUUCUCCUGGGCAGCUGUAGAGGUUCCAUGAUGUUCCUGACUCCUCUAAGAAAGAAUAUCGCGGUGCAUUUCCGAGAGUUCCCCUGGGGCACCGCACAAGCAUUGCAGGAGAAUUUCCGUAGCCUGGUAUUCACAGUGAUCUUCCAAGGUCAGUCCCAAA